UACGUAGGGUGCAAGCGUUGUCCGGAUUUACUGGGCGUAAAGCGCUUGUAGGCGGUCCACCAAGUUUGGGGUGACAGUUGCCGACUUAAUCGGCAAAGUGCCUCAAAGACUGGCGGACUUGAGGGCCACAGAGGGACAUGGAACUCCAGGUGUAGUGGUGAAAUGCGUAGAUAUCUGGAAGAACACCAAAGGCGAAGGCAGUGUCCUGGGUGGUCGCUGACGCUGAGAGGCGAAAGCCAGGGGAGCGAACGGG
rnacentral:rRNA from 1 species